rnacentral:misc_RNA from 1 species
GAUGAAGAACGCAGCGAAAUGCGAUACGUAAUGUGAAUUGCAGAUCUCUCAGUGAACCAUCGAAUUUUUGAACGCACAUAGCGCCCGCCGGUCAUUCCGGCGGGCAUGCCUGUCCGAGCGUCGAUGACGCCGCUCGAGCCCCCGUGCUCGGUGUUGGGGCGCUAGGUCUCCCAGAGGCCUAGGCCCCCAAGUAGCAGUGCGCGGUCCGGCUGCGGGCCCCGGGUACAGUAACUUCACCGUUGAGAUGCCCUGGGAGCCGCUGGCUGGGUCAGCCGUAAAACCCCCGACAUAGGCCUCUUUCUGCCCGCGCCCGGAGACGGGUUUCGGGGGGGAGGAGACCGCCCAAUGUUGACCUCGGAUCAGGUAGGACUACCCGCUGAACUUAAGCAUAUCAAUAAGCGGAGGA